rnacentral:rRNA from 1 species
CCUACGGGAGGCUGCAGUGAGGAAUCUUGGUCAAUGGACGAGAGUCUGAACCAGCCAAGUAGCGUGCGGGAUGAAUGCCCUAUGGGUUGUAAACUUCUUUUAUAAAGGAAUAAAACGAGGCACGUGUGCCUUUUUGCAUGUACUUUAUGAAUAAGGAUCGGCUCACUCCGUGCCAGAAGCCGCGGUAAUACGGAGGAUCCGAGCGUUAUCCGGAUUUAUUGGGUUUAAAGGGCGCGUAGAUGGGUUGUUACGUCAGUUGUGAAAGUUUGCGGCUCAAUCGUAAAAUUGCAAGUGAUACUGGCAGUCUGGAGUGCAGGUGAGGUAAGCGGAAUUCGUGGUGUAGCGGUGAAAUGCUUAGAUAUCACGAAGAACCCCGAUGGCGAAGGCAGCUUACUAAACUGUGACUGACAUUGAUGCUCGAAAGUGUGGGUAUCAAACAGGAUUAGAUACCCCUGUAGUC